rnacentral:rRNA from 1 species
GAUGAACGCUAGCUACAGGCUUAACACAUGCAAGUCGCGGGGCAGCAUGGGGGUUGCUUGCAAUCCCCGAUGGCGACCGGCGCACGGGUGAGUAACGCGUAUCCAACCUGCCCUUCACCACGGGAUAACCCGGCGAAAGUCGGACUAAUACCGUAUGUUGUCCAUUGACGGCAUCCGAUUUGGACGAAAGGUUUGGCGGUGAAGGAUGGGGAUGCGUCCGAUUAGCUGGACGGCGGGGUGACGGCCCACCGUGGCGACGAUCGGUAGGGGUUCUGAGAGGAAGGUCCCCCACACUGGAACUGAGACACGGUCCAGACUCCUACGGGAGGCAGCAGUGAGGAAUAUUGAUCAAUGGGCGUAAGCCUGAACCAGCCAAGUAGCGUGCAGGAUGUCGGCCCUAUGGGUUGUAAACUGCUUUUAUGCGGGGAUAAAGUGGCCCACGUGUGGGUUUUUGCAGGUACCGCAUGAAUAAGGACCGGCUAAUUCCGUG